rnacentral:rRNA from 1 species
GACGAACGCUGGCGGCGUGCUUAACACAUGCAAGUCGAACGGUGAAGCGCCUUCCUUUUUGGUGGGUGUGGAUGAGUGGCGAACGGGUUAGUAACACGUGAGUAACCUGCCCCCUCCUUCUUGAUAACCGCAUGAAAGUGUGGCUAAUACGGGAUAUUCUGAGUCGGUCGCAUGAUUGGUCUGGGAAAGAUUUUGUUUCGGUGGUGGAUGGGCUCGCGCCGUAUUAGCUUGUUGGUGGGGUGAUGGCUUACCAAGGCGGCGACGGGUAGCCGGCCUGAGAGGGGGGUCGGCCGGACUGGCAGGAAGGAGCGGCGCACACGACUACUGCGGGCAGCAGCAGGGGGGAUUACUGAACGGUGGGAGGAAGGCUGGUGCAGCGACGCGGGGUGGGUGAUGGAGGCCUUAGCGUUGUGAACUUCUUUCGGGAGUGAAGCAGGGUUGAAUUGUUUGUGGGUGGGUUGACGGUAGCUGGACAAGAAGCGACGGCUAACUACGUG